rnacentral:rRNA from 1 species
CACGUAGGAGGCAAGCGUUAUCCGGAUUUACUGGGCGUAAAGCGCGUGCAGGCGGUUCGGUAAGUUGGAUGUGAAAGCUCCUGGCUCAACUGGGAGAGGUCGUUCAAUACUACCGGACUUGAGAGCAGUAGAGGGAGGUGGAAUUCCCGGUGUAGUGGUGAAAUGCGUAGAUAUCGGGAGGAACACCAGUGGCGAAAGCGGCCUCCUGGACUGUUUCUGACGCUCAGACGCGAAAGCUAGGGUAGCAAACGGG